rnacentral:rRNA from 1 species
GGCUGCAACUCGCCUGCAUGAAGCUGGAAUUGCUAGUAAUCGCGGAUCAGCAAGCCGCGGUGAAUACGUUCCCGGGCCUUGUACACACCGCCCGUCACACCAUGAGAGUCGGGAACACCCGAAGUCCGUAGUCUAACCGCAAGGGGGGCGCGGCCGAAGGUGGGUCCGGUAAUUGGGGUGAAGUCGUAACAAGGUACC